rnacentral:rRNA from 1 species
CGAUGGUUCAUUCAAAUUUCUGCCCUAUCAACUUUCGAUGGUAGAGUAGUGGUCUACCAAUGGUUUCAACGGGUAACGGGGAAUUAGGGUUCUAUUCCGGAGAGGGAGCCUGAGAAACGGCUACCACAUCCAAGGAAGGCAGCAGGCGCGCAAAUUACCCAAUCCCGACACGGGGAGGUAGUGACAAUAAAUACUGAUACAGGGCUCUUUUGGGUCUUGUAAUUGGAAUGAGUACAAUUUAAAUCCCUUAACGAGGAACAAUUGGAGGGCAAGUCUGGUGCCAGCAGCCGGGUUAAUUCCAGCUCCAAUAGCGUAUAUUAAAGUUGUUGCAGUUAAAAAGCUCGUAGUUGAACCUUGGG